rnacentral:rRNA from 1 species
CGAAAGCCUGACGGAGCAACGCCGCGUGAGGGAUGGAGGCCUUUGGGCUGUAAACCUCUUUUCUCAAGGAAGAAGAUCUGACGGCACUUGAGGAAUAAGCCACGGCUAAUUCCGUGCCAGCAGCCGCGGUAAUACGGGAGUGGCAAGCGUUAUCCGGAAUUAUUGGGCGUAAAGCGUCCGCAGGCGGCCGUUUAAGUCUGUUGUUAAAUCGUGGAGCUCAACUCCAUCACGGCAAUGGAAACUGUUCGGCUUGAGUAUGGUAGGGGCAGAGGGAAUUUCCGGUGUAGCGGUGAAAUGCGUAGAUAUCGGGAAGAACACCAGUGGCGAAAGCGCUCUGCUGGGCCAUUACUGACGCUCAUGGACGAAAGCCAGGGGAGCGAAAGGGAUUAGAUACCCCUGUAGUCCUGGCCGUAAACGAUGAACACUAGAUGUUGGGGGAAUCGACCCCCUCGGUGUCGUAGCUAACGCGUUAAGUGUUCCGCCUGGGGAGUACGCACGCAAGUGUGAAACUCAAAGGAAUUGACGGGGGCCCGCACAAGCGGUGGAGUAUGUGGUUUAAUUCGAUGCAACGCGAAGAACCUUACCAAGGCUUGACAUCCUGCGAAUCUCUAAGAAAUUAGAGAGUGCCUUCGGGAACGCAGUGACAGGUGGUGCAUGGCUGUCGUCAGCUCGUGUCGUGAGAUGUUGGGUUAAGUCCCGCAACGAGCGCAACCCACGUUUUUAGUUGCCAGCAUUCAGUUGGGCACUCUAGAAAGACUGCCGGUGACAAACCGGAGGAAGGUGUGGACGACGUCAAGUCAUCAUGCCCCUUACGCCUUGGGCUACACACGUACUACAAUGCUGCGGACAAAGAGUAGCGAUCUUGCGAAAGUUAGCUAAUCUCAUAAACCGUGGCUCAGUUCAGAUCGUAGGCUGCAACUCGCCUACGUGAAGGAGGAAUCGCUAGUAAUCGCAGGUCAGCAUACUGCGGUGAAUACGUUCCCGGGCCUUGAACACACCGCCCGUCACACCAUGGAAGUUGGCCAUGCCCGAAGUCGUUACUCUAACCUUUUGGAAGAGGGCGCCGAAGGCAGGGCUAAUGACUGGGGUGAAGUCGUAACAAGGUAGCCGUAGCGGAAGCUGCGGCUGGAUCACCUCCUAA